rnacentral:rRNA from 1 species
GAUGAACGCUGGCGGCGUGCCUAAUACAUGCAAGUCGAGCGAACGGACGAGAAGCUUGCUUCUCUGAUGUUAGCGGCGGACGGGUGAGUAACACGUGGAUAACCUACCUAUCAGACUGGGAUAACUUCUGGAAACCGGAUCUAAUACCGGAUGAUAUUUUGAACCUCAUGGUUCAAAAGUGAAAGACGGUCUUGCUGUCACUUAUAGAUGGAUCCGCGCUGCAUUAGCUAGUUGGUAAGGUAACGGCUUACCAAGGCAACGAUGCAUAGCCGACCUGAGAGGGUGAUCGGCCACACUGGAACUGAGACACGGUACAGACUCCUACGGGAGGAAGCAGUAGGGAAUCUUCCGCAAUGGACGAAAGCCUGACGGAGCAACGCCGCGUGAGUGAUGAAGGUCUUCGGAUCGUAAAACUCUGUUAUUAGGGAAGAACAUAUGUGUAAGUAACUGUGAACAUAUUGACGGUACCUAAUCAGAAAGCCACGGCUAACUACGUG